GACGAACGCUGGCGGCGUGCUUAACACAUGCAAGUCGAACGGAAAGGCCCUGCUUUUGUUGGGUGCUCGAGUGGCGAACGGGUGAGUAACACGUGAGUAACCUGCCCUUGACUUUGGGGUAACUUCAGGAAACUGGGGCUAAUACCGGAGAGGAGCUCCUGCUGCAUGGGGGGGGUUGGAAAGUUUCGGCGGUGGGGGCUGGACUCGCGGGUUAUCAGCUUGUUUGUGGGGUAGUGGCUUACCAAGGGUUUGACGGGUAGCCGGCCUGAGAGGCUGACCGGACACAUUGCGACUGCGAUACGGCCCAGACUCGUACGGGACGCAGUAGUGGGGAAUCUUGCACAAUGGGCGGAAGCCUGAUGCAGCAACCCCGCGUGCGGGAUACCGGCCUUCGAGUUGUAAACCGAUUUCGAAUGUGACGAACAGUGAGUGACGGUAAUGGGUAAAGAAGCACCGGCUAACUACGUG
rnacentral:rRNA from 1 species